ensembl:lincRNA
GAAUCUGGUACCGGGACUUGGGGAGCGAGGGAUGCAACAUGGUGCAUCUGGGAGGCCUGCUAACUGGCUAACUUCUCCGGCGUUCCUCCCGGCCGAGGCGUGGGCACAGAAUAGCGGCGGCACCGGCGCCGGUGAGGCCCAGAUAUGGUGUCUCGAUACGGCGCGGAAGGUCAGUAUGUACCUCGUUUUGUAUAUUGUCUUGAAACUUUACUCCUUUGUAUGUUUGAAGACAUCAUUUUCCAGUUUUGGAGCCGACUAAUGAACUAGUUCUUAAGUGAAAGGCAUUUAACACGACUGUGCAUCUACAGGUACUAGGUUUCCAAGAUGCCUUUCCAGACUAAAACCCACACAUGUGAGCCGCUGGCCGGACAAACAUCUGGCACCUAACGUGGGGCUGAAAAACAGCAGAGGACAUUUGGAAGAAACACUGCUGGUUUGGAGCUCCAUAGAAGAA